rnacentral:lncRNA from 1 species
UGGGCACAGGCCUUUCUCCUCUCCAUGUCCCCAGCCUUUGGGAGACCUGUCACCUUGUGCCCUCCUGGGUAGUGCUGGUCUCCUUUGCCCUGGACUCCUCCCACCUAAAGGGGAACAGGGGCUUUCCCGGCUGGACCAUUAGUAACACAGGGGCCAAGGUCUUGUCCCAGGAGCCUAUUUCCAGGCGUGAGUGUGGGGCCACUCUGAGCAAACUGCAGGUUUCUUGGAACUGAUAGGCCUCAGUCACCCUCCCUCAGAUGUCUGACUUGCUGAGAGAUGGGUAAGUGCUUUAACUCCAGAAUGGGUGGCAUGGCAGGGCUGUGGAGCCCACAGGCCAGUUCUGAGCCGGGCCUGCCACUUUCUAGCAGUGGCUUGGACAAGCGGUUUAACUAACUUUUUAAAGCUUUGGUUCUUAGUAUAAUGGAUGUAAAGAUUCCUAUUCUGUUGGAUUAUCAUGAGAAUUAAGUGAAAUACUCCACUCUGUCCCUAGGCCAGGGUCAGGCAGUGGCUUUCCCAAGGGUCUGUAGCAGAGCCUGGCCUCAGCUGCACAGCUGUAGUUACUGAGUAAAUUCUCUACAAAUGGCAGCAGUUUUUUUCCAUACUUAUGUAUGUGAUCCAUUGACAAUAUCACCUCGAAUUUAUUAAUUAGAGACAAUGGAGGGCAAUUCGGGGUUAUACUUGGAGAUUCCAAGGAGAAAGCCUUGAAAUGCAGAAAGGAUUGGGUGGGUGGGUAGGUGGGGGGGGGUCCCAGAGUCUGGCUCUGGCAGGAAGUUAUGUUUUCCCCUUUCCCUCCUCCUCUCCCAUCCUCCCUCAGGCUGCCUCCGGCGCACUCUCCCUCUCCCGACUCCCCCUCUCUUCUCCACAUCUGGAUUCAACUAGGGAACAACAGGCUUUCUGUGAAUGCCCCCACCUUCUUCAGCCCUCAGUCCACUGCCUCAAAACUUUGAUUCUCAGGGGGUGGAAGGUGGGGCGGAGUGAGGUGGGGGUGGGGUUGGAAAAAUUUUGAACUUUCUCUUCCCAGAUUUAUAGGGUUAAAUCUGCACAACUCCCCCCCCCCUUGCUGGAGAUCCACCAAAGAGCCUGGAGCCCCAGUUCAGAGCUGGGGGUGGGGUGUCUCUGGAGGCAGGGGAGGCUGCAGUUCCUCAGCCCCCACCCCAUCCCAGGGCCAGCUUGCAGCCACCCCUCCCUGCCUGGGAGAAGCCCUGCUGGGCUCUGAGGCCAGGCAGUAAAUUGGAAUGCAGAAGUCACAGUCCAAGGCAGCUGUAACUCUCAUUAAAGUGACAUCAACCCCACUUCGGGAGGAUGCUGUAAAUCCAGGGAAAGGGGGCAUUCAUCCAGGGAGAACCGCAGAAGCAAAGAAAAAAACCAUAAAUAGAGGAGACGUGGUGUCUGGAACUAAUGGUGGGGCCCUCCCUGCCCAAGGCUGUGCUGAACUGGGGGUGGGGAAGGAGCUAAGGCCAGAGGAGGGGGAUGGGGGUUCUGAGCCAGGCCCUAGGGCCUAGUGAAUCCAAAGGGCACAGCCAAAGCCCUGCCUACAGUUGAUUGUCCUCUGCCCUUUCUGCACAUUCUCUUGGGCUGAGGCUGGCACUAGGAAUCAGAGUUGGUUUUUGUCCUUGGGGGAAUGACUAGGGGCUUUCCCAGGGACAAGAGAAGCUGUUGGCUUUGGCCAUUAAGGUUUUGUCAGUUCUCCUGUGAUCAGACAUCUGGGGGUCAGUCUCUGGGUUUAUAACCCAUCACCCGAAUUCAUAUCUUGUCUCUACUACUUGCUUCCAAGCUGUGGGCCUUGGAAGAGUUGCUUCUACUUUAAAAAACCUCAGUUUAAGCCUGGCAUGGUGGACACAUCUGUAAUCCCAGAGACUCAGGAGGCUGAGGUGGGAGGACAACAAGUUUGAGGCCAGCCUCAGCAACUCAGUGAGACCCUGUUUCAAAGUUUUAAAAAAAUAAUUUAAAAAAGGCUGGGUGGGUAGCUCAGUGGUAGAGAGUCCUAAGUUCAAUCCUCAGUAACAAAAAACAAAACAAACAAACAAAAGAAAGAAAGAAAGAAAAAGGAAGCCUCAAUUUUCCUUCAAUAGAGAACCGGAAAGGUCGCCCACCAAAGCUUGAUGUGAAAACCCAAGUAGAAAGCACAGACCAUUUCUGGUGGUGUGCAGGUACUAAUUGUUGAGUGACUAAAUGAUUCCCAGGUCCCCCCACCCCAUCACUGCCCAGAAACAGAUUUAUUUUCAGCUUUCCUNGCCUUAAAAUUGUGAUCUUCUUGCUUCAGCAAGUGCUGUGCCACCGUGCCUGAAUUCCUUUGUGCCUGACUCUGGAGUUUGUCGCCGAGGGACCUUAGGACAGUCACCUAACUUUCCAGGACUGAGUAUGGGUGUUGCUUUUUUCCUCCUAGGAAGUGAAACACUGGUGGGAGGCCGGGUUUGGAGUGGAGAGGGCAGAGUGUGCUGUCUGUAGUGGAAGCACCACCCCUUUGCUUUAGGGUCUAUGGUGUAGCCCAGGUCUCUCCUUCCCUGGGAACCCCAGGCAGGCUGCAUUCUAGAACCUUCUCCUGGGAUCAUUCUAGACUCCCUCCUCCUCACCUACACCAGGAACCUCAGACAUAGGCUGGGAGGCCACCCCACCUUUGCUCUCAGGCCCUGGGUGCUAGUGGCCACCCCAUUCCGAGGAAGGUUGAAGGCAAUCAUGUUCUCCUGAAAGUGUGAAUGAAGGAGAAUGAGCAGGCCAGAGAAUUCCUUCAGCCUUCCUCUUGGCCUUGAGUAUCAGUGUGCUUCAGGGUCCCUUGAGUGCUUGUUAAAUCAUGCAUGGUGGGCCCCGCCGUGGGAGCCCCACAUCAGCAGAAGCCCUGUUUCAGCAAAUCUGAGAGGAGGCCUAAGAAUCUGCAUUUCCAAUGUCAUGCACUUUGAGAACCACUUCUCUAGAGUGGUCUUGUUCGAAUUCAGGCCUUUUUGGGGGGCCGGGCGGGGAUACAGGAAGUUGAACUCAGGAGCAUUCAACUACUGAGCCACAUCCCUAGCCCUACUUUGUAUUUUAUUUAGAGACAGGGUCUCACCGAGUUGCUUAGCGCCUCACUUUUGCUGAGGCUGGCUUUGAACUCAGCCUCCUGAGCCCCUGGAAUUACAGGCAUGUGCCUCCGCGCCUGGCAAAUUCAGGCUUCUUUUGCUCCAUCAUUGUAGACUUGCAGCUGCAGCAAAGAACUGGCUUAGGCAGACUCCACCGUGUGGGUGUGUAGACUUUCAAAUCAAUUGGGACCCUCAGGGGCCAUCAGUCACAGCUGUGCAAAGAGCUGGCAGCUGAAGGGUGUGCUUGGUGAAAUAUGGACUUGCAGGGUGGGCUAAAGACCUGCCUGUUGUGUUCCCAUAGUGACAUAAACAUCGAUGAGAAGGGUGUCACACAGGGGGAAGCAAGGAGGGGAGAAUGGUGACCAUAUGUGACAUGCUGAUGGCCAAAGAGGCAUCAAAGACUUGCGGGGUGGGCAUGACCAUCUGUGUAUUUAACAAACUCCCCCGGCAAUUCUCGUGCAUACCCAUGUUUGGGAGCUGCUGCCAUGGAGGGUACUGGUGUUAGAGAUUGCGUUUUCUUUGAGGGCCUCUCUCAUCCCUCCUUCCUCCCAACCAAAAGGGCUUAGAGAAAAAGAGAUUGGGCGUGGGAAUGCAGAAAUUAAAUUGGGUGAAAUGGUCUAUGAUUCAACUAGGGGACAACAGGCUUUGUUCUCUAGUGCUUGUGACAAGAGUCCAGCACAAUCAAUUGAAAGGAAAAGCAAUAAAACUAGGCUUUGAAACAUCCAGAAAUGAUGCCCAGAAGGCUGGCUUGGGGAGGAGAGCAUGACCUUCCCCACUGUGGAUGGCCGGGGAGACACACACGCAGGUAGAGACAGUCCUGCAAUUCAUGAGGAUGCUUCUGGGGCUUACUCCUUGAGGAGGCUGAGACUUCCUGAGGGGUAGGAGCAGGGGUGAAGUGAGGAGGGGAGGCCACCUGCUUCCCCACCAGGACAUGGCCAACCAAUCAACCAGGACUCAGAGGGAACACUCUUGCCCCUGGGACCCACAGUCUCUUAUCCUGACACCCCAUGCCCUCACCUCUUGUGAAAGCCAGUUCUGAGUCCAACCUUCUCUCCAAGGGCAGCAUCCAGGGCUCCGGCCCUACUGACCACACACCCAUCACUUUUCUCACCAGACCUGGAACAGUGGUUUCCGGGGCCUUCCAGGAAGGUCCCUCAGGAUGAGUCCCUGGUGAGGGAGAUCUAUUUCCUUCACCUUUCAAAAGGACACAGCCUGACAGGAAGGAAUGGACUGAGGAGACACAUAAAAGAAUAAACAGGGCUUAGGACUGCUUUAGACAUUGUGUUGUGUGAGGUUUCCAUGUUGUAAUGAUGCCGUAGGUGUCCAAGCACUUCACAGUUUGCAUUAGGGCAUUUUACCUCCCCCCCCCCCCCCCCCCCCCCCCCCCCCCCGAGGAAGGCAGAGGGGUCAUGAGAUCCUAUUUAAAAAGGAGAAAGCUGUGGGCAGAAGAAAUGAAAAGACUUGUCUAAAUCUACACUUCAAUGCAAGGGUUUGGACCCAAACAGGAAUGUGGGCUUCUUGUUCCCAGCUAAAGGAAGUUGAGUUCACUUCUCAGAAACUGGUAUUAGGUUUGGAGUAGAGGGAGAGAGAACAGAAGUUGCAGUGAGUAUCUGGGUGCCUGGCCAAGAAUGUCCUUUGCGAUGGAGAUACUCAUGGCCCCAACUGCACAGUGAUGACUGAGAAGGCCCACAGCUCCGUCCCCUGGGAAUGGCCCUUAGCUUAAGGGAACUACAUUGCCCAAGGUUAUGUCCCCCUCAAGGUAGGGGACCUUGCAUCCAAUGACAGCUGCUUUGGGGAGUAAAGGUUCAGUCCCCUUGCCUUAGUGCAGGACCUCUGUGCAGGCCCUCCCCAGCUCCAGAGCUCUGCAAAGGGUUGGCCAAGUCUUUGGCCACAACUGCAGUAGCCCAGCUUCUCUCCAACCCAGGCCUGCUCCCUUCAUUCCCCCACAGGGCUUCACCCAAUAAAUGCAUAUGUACCUCUUAAAGUCUGAUUUCUAGGAGACUGAGUUAAGAAGGGAGCUAACAUUAACAAGAUGUGUUUGCUUGUUUAUUUGUUAUUGAGAUGGUCUCUCUUAAUAAAACAAAUCUAUGAAACAAACAUUUUUUGCUGUUUCUUCUUGGGGAAAGUUUAAAGCAAUUGUCAAGAUCACAUAGUAGGGGGCUGGGGUUAUGGCUCAGAGGUAGAGCGCUUGCCUAGCAUGCAUGAGGCACUGGGUUCGAUUCUCAGCACCACAUACAAAUAAAUAAAAUAAAGGUCCAUCAACAACUAAAUCACACACCAUAUUUAAAAAAAUAUUAAAAAAAAAAGAUCACAUAGUAGGCUGGGUACAGUGGUGCAUGCCUAUAAUUCCAGCUACUUAGGAGGCAGAGGCAGAAGGACCACAAGUUCAAGGCCAGCCUGGGUAAAAGAAAGAUCCUGUCUCAAAAUAAAAAGGGAUUAGGGGCUAGCUCAGUAGCAGAGCAGUUGUUUAGCAUGUGAGAGGCCCUGGGUUCAAUCCCCAGUACUGGGGGGCAAAAAAAGAUCACAUAGCGUCGAACAAAGCUGAGACCCGAAUCCAGGACCACUCUGACUUUGAGGGCACAUGCUGUAGUCACUGUCCACUCUAUGGAAUGUGGCAGAGUCCCUGACCCUGACCUGAGGGGUCCACAGUGGAAAAGUCAGCAGGCUAAAGACCUGCCUGUUGUGUUCCCAUAGUGACAUAAACACCCAUGAGAAGGGUGUCACACCUGGCAUGCAAACAGGGGGAAGCAGGGAGGGGAGAAUGGUGACCAUAUGUGACACGCUGAUGGCCAGAGAGGGAGCAGGCAACUCUGGUGGAGGAACACCUCAGGGUGACCACAGGUCUCAGAGCCAGAGCUACAGACACCAUCAGCCCCUGCCAGGAGCAGCCACAGUGGCCAAUUGAACCUCUUUCUAUAGGCCCCAUACAGCAGGGACUGCUGGCUCUGAGUCUCCCUUGAGCACAAAAGGUUGGCAAGACCCAGCCCCAGUCCUGGCCCAGUAAAAAGUAAGGGACCCCUGGACCUUUCUGGCUAUCUGAUGCUCCAUCUGGUCCCCACACAGUUGAGUACUGCCUGGACUCUGGGACUGAUUUGGUAGUAGUCAGGGUGAGUUCAAGGUCAGCAUCUUGCUGCCACAGCCACAAGCCUGUCUGUAGCCUUUCCCUCAGGCCAACCCCAGAGCUCUCUGGAGAUAGGAGUAGAAAGAAGGCUCUUCCUAAAGUUUUGUCUCUGGAGAUCCCAACCUGAUUCUACUUUCACACAUUUAAUUCUAGAUCGGAGUCUAAUGCUGGAGUCCUCCUGAGGAGUGGUGGCCUUGGAACUGCACCUGGGGAAGAGCUGCAAGUCUGGAGACAAACCAAGCAGGUGCCAUCUUGGUUCUCGUGGGUUUGUUUAGCAUUCAUUGGCAGCUCUUAGUCAGCUUUGGCAUCAAUUCAAAAAGUGGCUUUUGGGGGUUCAUCCCAUCACCUGGAGAUUCUGAACACAUGCUUAUAGCUCACACACAGAGAAACAAAUAUAACUCUUUUACUUUCUCUUAUUAAGCUAGCUCUUCCCCUGGGGACAUGAGCUGGGAGAUAUGCAGCCUUCCCUGAGAAGAUGAGACUCCCUCGGGGAGAAGUCAGGUGCCUAGAAGUAACACCUGCUGAGUGUACCCCGCCAAUUGGAAAUCUUCUGUGCCCAGGGCUCAGGUGGCUAGUGAUGUCACUCAGUGGCAAGGUGCUUGCCUAACAUGCACAAGGCCUUGAUUUCCAUCCCCAGAGCCACAAAAAGAAAAAGAAAGACUCUUGUCCCUUAGGAUGUUCAACUAAUGUGUGAAGAAAACUCCUUGCCCCAGUAACCAGGAUGACAGGAGCAAGGGCAGGUCUGUGUGCCAAGGGCUGAUGUCAUGCAGGAAGGGGCAGCAGCAAGACCCAUUUUUAAAAUAUAUAUAUAAUUAAAUAUAUACACAAUUUUUUAUAUAUAUAUAUAUAUAUAUAUAUAUAUAUUUCUAAAUGGACACGAUUUAUUUAUUUAUCUAUGUAUGUAUGUAUGUAUGUAUUUAUGUGGUGCUGAGGAUGGAACCCAGUGCCUCACACAUGCUGGGUGAGAGCUCUACCACUGAGCUCCCAGACCCAUACUUGAGCUGGGCCUCGGUUUCCUCACCUGGUGGGGAAUGUUCUUCCAGUCGUGGGAAUAUGUUUGUGACUGCUGUCUCUUCUCUUCCUUAUAUUUUUUUUUAAUCUUUGUGAGAAAAAUCCUGCUGUUCUGCUUGUUUUCUCUGAGCCGUUUUGUUAGUUGAGGUGUUUGCAUGCUGAGCAACACACACUAAUAUUUUCCUUUGUAGCAAAACAUUAAUUAUCCCAUCCAGUAACCUUUCUCUCGGGUAUUUUGUUCUUACCACCCCCUAAGCUGUUGGACACCAAGCAAUUUCUGUAUUUUCUCAUCAUCUCAGCAAGCCGACUACAAGGGCUGGGGGGGAGAGCAUUCCCACUUGGCUGUGCUCAGGCUCUUCUUCCAGACACUCCCCGACACACACACAGUGGCACCCAGUACUUGCAGAGCACCCUGCGAGGCUGCUGUCCCAGCACUGUUCAUGCUGUGUGGGAACUCUCUGUUUACAUCUCCCAAGAGGCUGUGAAUGCACUCAUGUCUUUAUUCCAACUGUGCUCGGCACACACAGUGGCUCUCUGAGUGUGCCCUAUAAGCAGAUGGGUGAAGGAAACUGAAGGACUGAACAGAGGAUGCGCAGCCCCAGAACCCAGAGCAGCCGCCCAUUGGCCCCUCAGCCUCCAUCUCUUGCCCAUUCACACAAGCAGCAGUGGAAGGUGCGCUUUGCAUCUUGGCUGUCCCUGCCACUUGGUGAGCCUCUGUCCCCACCUGAAGCUAUCCUCAGCUGCAGCCUGUCAGUGCGCUCACCACUGGGAGCCCAGUCUCCUCUUCCCCAGAGUGAGAUGGGACAGAAGGAGGAUUUGGAACCAGGAGUCCCCGGAGGCCCCAGGGAACAAAGGCAGAAUGUGAAAGCAUCUUAGCAAUCCCUGGGCACCAACCCUUGCUCCUCCCACCUCAAAGACCAGGGGAUUCACCAGGCAUGGUGGCACUCGCCUGUAAUCCCAGUGAGAUUACACUCGCCUGUAAUCCCAGCAGGAGGCUGGGGCAGGAGGAUCACAAGUUCAAAGUCAGUCUCAACAACUUAGUGAGGCCCUCAGCAACUUAGUGAGACCCUAUCUCAAAAUUUAAAAUAAUAAUAUUAAUAGUAGUAAUAAUAAUAAUAAUAAUAAUGGCCGGGGUUGUAGAUCAGUGGUAAGCAUCCCUGGGUUCAAUCCUGGUACAAAAAACCCAAAAACAAACAAACAAACUAACAACAAACAAACAAACAACCAUGAGGACGGUCUCAGGGUCUUAGAGAGCUGAGGGGUCAGGUCCACAGUCACCUACAUGGUGAAUGGAGGAGUUGGGACUCAGGCCCUGGGCAGUUGUCAAGAGCAAGAACCUCCUAAUUAAUUCUGAACACAGGGCCUUUCAAAUCCCUUGUGCUGCCACACUAUGUGCCACAGAGAGGAGGGAAAGGCCUGGUGGUCUCCAUGUGUGCAGCACACACCCCUUCCCUUUCCUGGCAUCCUUCUGAAGGAGGCAGAGUGGCCAUGACUUCUUCAUUUUGCAGAUGAGGUCACUGAGGUGCAGAAGGUGGAGCUGAGCUGCUCACAGUAGCAGAGCUGUCCAGUGCAGCCCACGCCCAGCCCUACCAUGCUCUCCAGCUGGAUCCCUCUCCUGCUGUGUCCUUUUCUCCAGGAUCCUGAGACUCC